AAUAGAUGGUAAGGGCAAGCUCUAGUGUACCAUUUCAUACGCUCCCAUUCUUCAUACAAAGGCUCUUCUUCGCGUUGUUCAAAUCUAGCUAUAUCAUUCCUUAUCUU
rfam:Arabis alpina cultivar Pajares scaff_60122_1_contig_10, whole genome shotgun sequence.